UCCCAGACUCCUACGGGAGGCAGCAGUGGGGAAUAUUGCACAAUGGGGGAAACCCUGAUGCAGCGACGCCGCGUGAGCGAUGAAGUAUUUCGGUAUGUAAAGCUCUAUCAGCAGGGAAGAAAAUGACGGUACCUGACUAAGAAGCCCCGGCUAACUACGUGCCAGCAGCCGCGGUAAUACGUAGGGGGCAAGCGUUAUCCGGAUUUACUGGGCGUAAAGGGCGCGUAGGUGGGCGCUUAAGUCAGGUGUGAAAACUCCGGGCUCAACCUGGAGACUGCACUUGAAACUGGGUGUCUUGAGGGCAGGAGAGGAAAGUGGAAUUCCUAGUGUAGCGGUGAAAUGCGUAGAUAUUAAGAGGAACACCAGUGGCGAAGGCGGCUUACUGGACUGUAACUGACGUUGAGGCUCGAAAGCGUGGGGAGCAAACAGGAUUAGAUACCCUGGUAA
rnacentral:rRNA from 1 species